rnacentral:lncRNA from 10 species
GUUAGAAAGAGGUUGAGUGCUAGAGAAUCUUAUGGCUGCAAAAUGAGUAAGCAGAGACUUCAACCACUGUCUUCUGACUCACAGCCCAAGGGAAAGACCAGGCAAGAGUAGGGGUGAAGAAAUCUCAUGUAGAAGCCCAGAACUUUCAAGAGAUAAGAAGUAGAGAGAUUCUGGUUUAAAGAGAGAUGACAGAAGCCCUGAAUGUCCUCUCUUCUGCUCCCCCAGAUACCUUCAUGGACUACAGGGCUGUACAUACGGUUAGACUCCUUGACCUCAAUGUGAAUGUCUAAAGACUCCAAGCAUCCUAACUCCAAUUAGAAAUCCAGCAGCAAUGUAUUACCAUGCAGUUGUCUAAAACCUUAAAAAAAAAAGCUAUUUAAAUUGUCCAUCUUUUCA